rnacentral:rRNA from 1 species
AUUGAACGCUGGCGGCAGGCCUAACACAUGCAAGUCGAGCGAGCGGCGGACGGGUGAGUAAAGUAUGGGGAAUGCCCGAUAGAGGGGGAUAACUACUGGAAACGGUAGCUAAUACCGCAUACUAUCGGAUAACCCAUAUGGGAUUAGCUAGUAGGUGAGGUAAUGGCUCACCUAGGCGACGAACCCUAGCUGGUCUGAGAGGAUGAUCAGCCCCACUGGUACUGAGCCCCGUCCCAGACUCCUACGGAGCCAGCAGUGGGGAAUAUUGCCCAAUGGCCGCAAGCCUGCUGCAGCCCUGCCGCGUGUAUGAAGAAGGCCCUAGGGUUGUAAAGUCCUUUCAGUCGGGAGGCGUUACCGGCAGAAGAAGCACCGGCUAACUCCGUGCCAGCAGCCGCGGUAAUUC